rfam:Triticum aestivum genome assembly, contig: Triticum_aestivum_CS42_TGACv1_scaffold_322256_4BL
CAGAUGCAGACGACACAACACAAGUUUGUGGCUAAUUUUUAUCUGAGGCAUUUAUGUGAUGUGAUGGUUUUUUUCACCUUGGAGAUCCAAUGCAUCCC